rnacentral:rRNA from 1 species
CGCGGCCUAUCAGCUUGUUGGUGAGGUAACGGCUCACCAAGACAUCGACGGGUAGCUGGUCUGAGAGGACGAUCAGCCACACUGGGACUGAGACACGGCCCAGACUCCUACGGGAGGCAGCAGUAGGGAAUCUUGCGCAAUGGGCGAAAGCCUGAUGCAGCAAUGCCGCGUGCGGGAAGAAGGCCCUAGGGUUGUAAACCGCUUUCAGCAGGGAAGAAAAUGACGGUACCUGCAGAAGAAGGUGCGGCCAACUACGUGCCAGCAGCCGCGGUGACACGUAGGCACCAAGCGUUGUCCGGAUUUAUUGGGCGUAAAGAGCUCGUAGGCGGUUCAGUUAGUCGGGUGUGAAAACUCAAGGCUCAACCUUGAGACGCCACUCGAUACUGCUGUGACUUGAGUCCGGUAGAGGAGUGUGGAGUUCCUGGUGUAGCGGUGAAAUGCGCAGAUAUCAGGAGGAACACCAGCGGCGAAGGCGGCACUCUGGGCCGGUACUGACGCUGAGGAGCGAAAGCAUGGGGAGCAAACAGGAUUAGAUACCCUGGUAGUCCAUGUCGUAAACGUUGGGCACUAGGUAUGGGAUCAUAUCAACGGAUUCCGUGCCGUAGCUAACGCAUUAAGUGCCCCGCCUGGGGAGUACGG